CAUAGAUAUUAGAGUACAUAGGGAUUGGAAACGGGCCGUGGCAACAGGAAAAUGCUAGUUGAUAGUACCGUAAAUAAUUUCUCUAAAUACUCGUAUGUAAAAUUUAAAUGGCUAAAAGUUGAAAAAGGUAACCCUUCAAUAAUGUUUAGAGACAUUCUUCCUGUUUGCCCAACCUGUCUGCUGUGGCAAUGUAUCUGUUUGCAGUUUAAAUUCAGUGUUUUAUGAAUUAGCAAUCAUUAUUGAUCACAUUUACUAUUUUUAGUUCUAUAUUUUGUUUUGUACAACCUAUUGAAUAGAAAUAGUGUCAGCGACCUCCGGUGUGUUCUAAGCAA
rnacentral:lncRNA from 1 species